rnacentral:rRNA from 1 species
AAGACCUCGCACUUUUGGAGCGGCCGAUGUCUGAUUAGCUAGUUGGUGGGGUAAUGGCCUACCAAAGCUUCGAUCAGUAGCUGGUCUGAGAGGACGGCCAGCCACACUGGGACUGAGACACGGCCCAGACUCCUACGGGAGGCAGCAGUGGGGAAUUUUGGACAAUGGGCGCAAGCCUGAUCCAGCCAUGCCGCGUGAGUGAAGAAGGCCUUCGGGUUGUAAAGCUCUUUCAGCCGGGAAGAAAAGGUUGCGACUAAUAAUCGCAAUUCAUGACGGUACCGAAAGAAGAAGCACCGGCUAACUACGUGCCAGCAGCCGCGGUAAUACGUAGGGUGCGAGCGUUAAUCGGAAUUACUGGGCGUAAAGGGUGCGCAGGCGGUUUUGUAAGUCAGAUGUGAAAUCCCCGAGCUUAACCUGGGAACU